AGACAUGCAUGUUCACAAAUUUACACAAUAAAUCAGGUUUGUUUGGACCUCCUCAGUGGAGGCUUUGUAGAACCCCUGAGACCAACUCACCGAAUCCCUAGGGUUCGAUCGAACCCAGGUUAAGAACCACUGAUUUAGACAUUGAGCUUAA